rnacentral:lncRNA from 1 species
CAAGCCGGGUCUACAAUAUUGUGUAUGAGGAACUCGGCUGAGCUUUGGGGAUAAAACACUGCAGAGACGGAGGCCUUCCGGGAGCUGAUGUACAGAGUGGGGGGCAAGCACAAUAAAGACAUGAACAUCUCACAGUAUAGUAAGAGCCAGAGCAGGAGGUGAGCAUGGGGUGGGAGCCCACACAGCCGACUCUGCUAGGGGAGACCAGGGAACACUUCUGUGCUGAUUGGGGUUGUUGGUCUACUACCACGGUUCUCUUGAGAUGGAAUGGAUGGCUACCUGACAGGCAUCUUACAAACUCCAUGCAAAUGACACUUGCAAGCAACAUACCAAGUGGAUCAGUUUCCUGGGGCUGCCAUACCAAUUACCACCAACUGGGCGGUGUAAAACAACAGAGACGCAUUAUCUCACUGUUCUAGAGGCCAGAAGGCUGAAGCCACGGUGCCUGCAGAGGCUUUACCAUCUGGAGCCUCCAGCUCUUCCUGCCCUUGGCUGGGGGCUCAACCAGGGGACCUUCAAAGCCAUUUCCCUUGAGAUACUUACAUGCAACUUCAAUGGGCAGGUUAGUGUCAAUAUCUCUUAUUUGCCACUGUGUAUUUCGGCAAUCACAAGGUGUUACUGAGUGGCAAAUUCAAAUGCAUAUUGUCCUUAAUUUGAGGUUAAUUAUAUAUAACAUUUCAAAGGAGGUAAUCUCAUUAAUUUUGAUUUGCUUCUAACAGUAUUAAAGCACACACUGGAAGACUGACUCGAUUAAAACGGAGCACAUGGGGGGAGACGUCGGGCUCUUCCGAGAUUGUUACGUGCAUUUUAUUAGCCACAGCGAGCCAAGAAGGACGCUGGUGAAACUUCUCCAAAAGCCACAGCCUGCAUAACUGAAGCCACCUGGCCAUCAGGCAGCCCUGCUCACUGUGCACGCUCCCAGUUCCCUGCCUGAUAUAUAUCAGAAGCUUCCUAGACAUUCAUGGAUGAAUAAAGGAAUGAAUGGGAAAUCCCAGCGGGGCAGUCCUGGCAGGAUAUAAAAGGGAACUGGGAUGAUCUGUUGCAUUGUGUUUGCAAAUCCUGUGACUCUAUAAUUAUUUAAAUAUAAGAGGUUUUUAAAAAACCUAUAUAUGCUCUUUGUAGAAGGUUAGAGGAACACAAACAAUGGCAAAGAAAAUAAAAAUCACCGGUAAUCACAUAGCUCAUUUCCCUAAUUUUCUAGCACAUUGGUGCUUAUUUUCUGUUCAGGGAUGUUGACUCAGUACAGAUAGAUAAGUGAACACAGAAUGCCUCUCCAGUAGCUGGGAUUACAGGCAGACGCUAUCAUCUGUCACGUACACAUUUUUGUAUCUGCCUAACGUUCAGGAACCCCUGUCCCUUUCUGCCAACAGUGGCUCUAAAACUAUGCUUCCUUGUGGCUGUGUAAAGAGGCAUCCUGCAGCUGUCCAACCACCCAACACCAUUUAUUAAAGGCCGACCGUGUGCCAGGCACCCCCUGCAGACAAAACCCUGCUUCUGUGGAGCUCACAUGAAGAACACGGGAUGCGAAUGUCAGAGCAUAAGCAGGGCAGGUUCAGGUGCAGGUAAUAAAAUGGGCACCCCAGUGGGGAUAACGAGGCAACACUGGGCAGGUGGUCAGGGAAGACCCCUCGAGGGGUUGCUGAGGCUGC